rnacentral:rRNA from 1 species
GUAGGUGGCAAGCGUUGUCCGGAAUUAUUGGGCGUAAAGCGCGCGCAGGCGGUUCUUUAAGUCUGAUGUGAAAGCCCACGGCUCAACCGUGGAGGGUCAUUGGAAACUGGAGAACUUGAGUACAGAAGAGGAAAGCGGAAUUCCACGUGUAGCGGUGAAAUGCGUAGAGAUGUGGAGGAACACCAGUGGCGAAGGCGGCUUUCUGGUCUGUAACUGACGCUGAGGCGCGAAAGCGUGGGGAGCAAACAGGAUUAGAUACCCUGGUAGUCCACGCCGUACACGAUGAGUGCUAAGUGUUAGGGGGUUUCCGCCCCUUAGUGCUGCAGCUAACGCAUUAAGCACUCCGCCUGGGAGUACGGCCGCAAGGCUG